rnacentral:rRNA from 1 species
AUUGAACGCUGGCGGCAGGCCUAACACAUGCAAGUCGAACGAGUGGCGGACGGGUGAGUAAUGUCUGGGAAACUGCCUGAUCGAGGGGGCUAACUACUGGAAACGUUAGCUAAUCCCGCAUACCAUCAGAUGUGCCCAGAUGGGAUUAGCUUGUUGGGGGGGUAACGGCUCACAAAGGCGACGAUCCCUAGCUGGUCUGAGAGGAUGACCAGCCACACUGGAACUGAGAAACGGUCCAGACGCCUAGGGGAGGGAGCAGUGGGGAAUAUUGGAAAAUGGGAGCAAGCCUGAUGCAGCCAUGCCGCGUGUAUGAAGAAGGCCUUCGGGUUGUAAAGUACUAUCAGCGGGGAGGCGUUACCCGCAGAAGAAGCAACGGCUAACUCCGUGCCAGCCGCCGCGGUAAUUC